rnacentral:rRNA from 1 species
UACGUAGGGAGCAAGCGUUGUCCGGAAUCAUUGGGCGUAAAGCGCGCGUAGGCGGCCUCAUAAGUCCGUUGUGAAAGUCAAAGGCUCAACCUUUGAAAGCCGAUGGAUACUGUGAGGCUAGAGUCCGGAAGAGGCGAGUGGAAUUCCUGGUGUAGCGGUGGAAUGCGCAGAUAUCUGGAGGAACACCGGUGGCGAAGGCGCCCACCUGGCCUGCUACUGACGCUGAAACUCGAAAGCUAGGGGAGCAAACGGG